UGCUGGAGGUAUCAGAAGUGCGAAUGCUGACAUAAGUAACGAUAAAGCGGGUGAAAAGCCCGCUCGCCGGAAGACCAAGGGUUCCUGUCCAACGUUAAUCGGGGCAGGGUGAGUCGACCCCUAAGGCGAGGCCGAAAGGCGUAGUCGAUGGGAAACGGGUUAAUAUUCCCGUACUUGGUGUUACUGCGAAGGGGGGACGGAGAAGGCUAUGUUGGCCGGGCGACGGUUGUCCCGGUUUAAGCGUGUAGGCUGGUUUUCCAGGCAAAUCCGGAAAAUCAAGGCUGAGGCGUGACGACGAGGCACUACGGUGCUGAAGCAACAAAUGCCCUGCUUCCAGGAAAAGCCUCUAAGCAUCAGGUAACAUCAAAUCGUACCCCAAACCGACACAGGUGGUCAGGUAGAGAAUACCAAGGCGCUUGAGAGAACUCGGGUGAAGGAACUAGGCAAAAUGGUGCCGUAACUUCGGGAGAAGGCACGCUGACACGUAGGUGAAGUGAUUUACUCACGGAGCUGAAGUCAGUCGAAGAUACCAGCUGGCUGCAACUGUUUAUUAAAAACACAGCACUGUGCAAACACGAAAGUGGACGUAUACGGUGUGACGCCUGCCCGGUGCCGGAAGGUUAAUUGAUGGGGUCAGCGCAAGCGAAGCUCCUGAUCGAAGCCCCGGUAAACGGCGGCCGUAACUAUAACGGUCCUAAGGUAGCGAAAUUCCUUGUCGGGUAAGUUCCGACCUGCACGAAUGGCGUAAUGAUGGCCAGGCUGUCUCCACCCGAGACUCAGUGAAAUUGAACUCGCUGUGAAGAUGCAGUGUACCCGCGGCAAGACGGAAAGACCCCGUGAACCUUUACUAUAGCUUGACACUGAACAUUGAGCCUUGAUGUGUAGGAUAGGUGGGAGGCUUUGAAGCGUGGACGCCAGUCUGCGUGGAGCCGACCUUGAAAUACCACCCUUUAAUGUUUGAUGUUCUAACGUGGACCCGUAAUCCGGGUUGCGGACAGUGUCUGGUGGGUAGUUUGACUGGGGCGGUCUCCUCCUAAAGAGUAACGGAGGAGCACGAAGGUUGGCUAAUCCUGGUCGGACAUCAGGAGGUUAGUGCAAUGGCAUAAGCCAGCUUGACUGCGAGCGUGACGGCGCGAGCAGGUGCGAAAGCAGGUCAUAGUGAUCCGGUGGUUCUGAAUGGAAGGGCCAUCGCUCAACGGAUAAAAGGUACUCCGGGGAUAACAGGCUGAUACCGCCCAAGAGUUCAUAUCGACGGCGGUGUUUGGCACCUCGAUGUCGGCUCAUCACAUCCUGGGGCUGAAGUAGGUCCCAAGGGUAUGGCUGUUCGCCAUUUAAAGUGGUACGCGAGCUGGGUUUAGAACGUCGUGAGACAGUUCGGUCCCUAUCUGCCGUGGGCGCUGGAGAACUGAGGGGGGCUGCUCCUAGUACGAGAGGACCGGAGUGGACGCAUCACUGGUGUUCGGGUUGUCAUGCCAAUGGCACUGCCCGGUAGCUAAAUGCGGAAGAGAUAAGUGCUGAAAGCAUCUAAGCACGAAACUUGCCCCGAGAUGAGUUCUCCCUGAGACUUAGAGUCUCCUGAAGGAACGUUGAAGACGACGACGUUGAUAGGCCGGGUGUGUAAGCGCAGCGAUGCGUUGAGCUAACCGGUACUAAUGAACCGUGAGGCUUAACCUUACAACGCCGAAG
rnacentral:rRNA from 1 species